UAGGGCCUUAGAACUUCUGGGGCCUUGGCCUUUUCUGGAAGCUGCUUUGCGAUGAUCUUCACAAAAGUUGGAGGAAAUCAAGAAGGGACUGAUGCACCAUUCUGAGAAAAAAAUUCAACCAAUGACAACUCAAACAUCAGCAUUAUAUAUAUCUAAUACAUUCUACAAAUUCCCUGCUAGUGGAUGCCUCCAAUUUACCAAUGUAGAAACUACAGACCCGGACAAUUAUUUUAUUUAAAAAACUCUCCAGUUGAUUAUGUAUCUGGCAAUAUUCUCUGACCUACCUUGUCUGCUAGUAGAUCAUAAGCCCUGCGUUUUAGAAGAGGUUCUGACUUGUAUCUGAGAAGAAGGAAUGCUGCACAGAGAUGCCAAGAAUAAUCUGUACAGGCAAACCUCCAGUAUCUCCUCAUUCAGUCUGUUAACAUUGAUUAUACUCCUUUUGUAAAAUCACAUUUCUAAACUUUGGGCCAUGCUUUAAUCAUACCUGUGCAA